rnacentral:rRNA from 1 species
AUUGAACGCUGGCGGCAUGCCUUACACAUGCAAGUCGAACGGCAGCACGGGAGCAAUCCUGGUGGCGAGUGGCGAACGGGUGAGUAAUAUAUCGGAACGUGCCCAGUCGUGGGGGAUAACGUAGCGAAAGCUACGCUAAUACCGCAUACGAUCUAUGGAUGAAAGCGGGGGAUCGCAAGACCUCGCGCGAUUGGAGCGGCCGAUAUCAGAUUAGGUAGUUGGUGGGGUAAAAGCCUACCAAGCCUUCGAUCUGUAGCUGGUCUGAGAGGACGACCAGCCACACUGGAACUGAGACACGGUCCAGACUCCUACGGGAGGCAGCAGUGGGGAAUAUUGCGCAAUGGGCGAAAGCCUGACGCAGCCACGCCGCGUGAGUGAUGAAGGCCCGAGGGUCGUAAAGCUCUGUCGGGAGGAAGACAAAAUGACGGUACCUCCCAAGAAAGCACCGGCUAACUCCGUGCCAGCAGCCGCGGUAAUGU